UAUUCGUUAUUUUCCUUCCUCCGAGGUUUAUUGUCGUAAAAUGUUUCUAAUCGCGCGUUAAUAAUCAAAAUAAUGUUUAUCAACAUCGUCGUCGUCGUCGUCGUCGUUGUCAUCAUCGUGGUGGAAAGAAAAGGCAGAGAUAAUAUUUCGUAACGGGGUGAUAACACAGUCUGCGCUUCUUGUUAAUCCCAAACGUUGUGACUGCGAACUGCAUACAUACAUUGGUUAUCCAAAUCAACAUCGUAUUAUACUUGUUUUAAUAAUGACAUCAGAAAGGAACGAAUAAAACGCUGAAAAAACUUGUGUCGCAAACGGUUUCUCGAUUGGUGUGAUUUUCUGUGUUCUCGUGGUCAAAGUUUCAUUGGUUAGCCGUUGGCUGUCAACUGAUUAAACAACAUUACGUUAUACUGGUGCUUCUGGCGAGUACAUAAAACGUCAUAUCGCGAAACGUAUGUUACAAACGAACAUUACAUACGCGUGAACAAUUGUAAAUUUUUAUCUUAAUUUUUAUUCAUAUUUCAUUCCCCACGGUUUUAAUCAAAAGUUAUAAACUAUCGCGAAAAAGUUUGAUAGUAAGACUUGGUCGAUGAUAAAACCUAAGAAACAGUCAACAGAACGAGGACAAAUCCACCGACUCGAGCCAGUUUCGAAUUGGUCGUAAAGAAACUGAUACAAGCAAAAAAAAAAAACACAACACAAAACACAAGAGGAGAGAAGAAGAGAAGACCAGCAGCAUCGAUAACAUAAAUAUACACGUGUGUGUAGUACAAAGGAUAAACAAGAAAGUAACGAAAAUACGAAGUAAGAAAAUAUAAUGGUGCUGUAGUUUUAUGAAAGAUUAGAAUCGUUGAGCCAACGUCGAGAGCGCGGAGCGUGGAACUCGUGAUAGCGUUGCGAGGCGGCGAGCAGCCGUUGGAGUAACCAACUCGUGGUACUGAGUCGGCGUCAUCGAUGACUUGAGAAGGAGAGGCGAGGAGCGGAGCGAAGGAGGCGGCACUCGUUCGCCGGAAUCGUUGCUCGAGUCCCGAGCCCAAGUCGUGGCGGCGUCAUACCGGUAGAAAACUGUGCGUGCCUGCGGUAGCAACAGCGGCAGCGAUACAACGGAGGUGUUUGUAAUCGUACUGGUUUUCGGUUUGAUUCCGUGCGAUGAGUAUCACGUGAACAAUCGCCCUGUGUGCAUCGCUCGUCGAGUGCCGCGUGUAUAAUUUAUCGCUUCGAUCGUUGUUGUUCCCCAGUCCCUCGUUUUCCUCUUCGAUUAUUUGUGAAUAUCGCGUUCCUACCGCGUUUUUAAAACUGACGUAAAACCAGCCGAAGGGGGAUAUUCCGAUUCAGUUUCCACUUGUUCUUCUUCGCUACUUCACCGUUUGCAGAACUCGUAGGAGAACAACAAAGGCUCAGUGGUUCUUGAGACGUGAAAGAAGAAAUAUACACACAUAGAAGAAAGGCAGAGAGAAAAAGCGAAAAGGAGAAAGUGAGCGAGGAAGAGAGAUAGAAAGAAAGAGAGAGAGAGAGAGAGAGAGGGGGGAGAGGAGAGAGAGAAAGAGAGAGAAAGUAUAGUUUAAAAAAAGUUGAUAACAGAGAUAGAAAGUAGCGACGAAAAAGGAGUUAAAACGAAAAAGAAAAUACAACUAAAUACGCAUGAACACAUGAAAAAAUUUGUGCUUUUUGUUCCGCGAUUAAAAUAAUAUAUCGAAUAGAAGUUGAAGUUUGGUGAUAAAGCAGUAAAAAGAAAAACAAAAAGAAAACAAAAACCUUAACAAACAAAAACUAUAUAAAGAACGAGAUAUAAAUAAAGAAAUGGCGAUGGUAAACAUGAAUAACCUAUUGAACGGAAAAGAUUCGAGGUGGCUACAGUUGGAAGUGUGCCGAGAGUUUCAACGUAACAAAUGUACGAGGCCUGACACGGAGUGCAAAUUUGCACAUCCACCAGCCAACGUUGAGGUACAAAAUGGACGAGUCACCGCUUGCUACGACAGUAUCAAGGGUCGAUGUAACAGAGAGAAACCACCUUGCAAGUACUUCCAUCCGCCACAGCAUCUUAAAGACCAGUUACUAAUCAACGGUCGGAAUCAUCUCGCGUUGAAAAACGCCUUGAUGCAUCAGAUGGGCCUUACACCAGGACAGACCUUAGUGCCAGGCCAGGUGCCCGCUGUGGCGACGAAUCCGUACCUGACAGGAAUGCCACAGGUCGGUAGCACCUACAGCCCGUACUUCGCGCCUGGCCCCAUAAUGCCAGCGAUAAUGGGUCCAGCCGACCCGACGGGGGGCGUCGGAAGUCCGCUUGGCGUAGUUCCGCAGACGGUCGCCGUACCCCAGAAAAUGCCAAGGAGCGAUCGACUCGAGAUGGACAUGAAAUCAGUCGGGUCAUUCUACUACGAGAAUUUUGCCUUCCCCGGAAUGGUACCGUACAAACGUCCAGCCGGCGACAAGUCGGGCAUGCCUGUGUACCAGCCCUCGGGAGCGGCGACGACCUACCAGCAGCUGAUGCAGCUACAGCAGCCAUUCGUCCCCGUCUCAUUUACUGGACACCCUCCCGGUGUGCCAAGAUUUUAAUCGUCAGUUAUGCAAUCGACCAGCCUGCAAGUUCGUCCAUCUACAUGACGGAAGCGUAGAGGUGAUCGACAACCGUGUCACGGUAUGCCGAGACGCAGCUAAGGGUGCCUGCGUACGUCCCCAGUGUAAAUAUUACCACAUACCGGUAUCUCUACCACCGGCACCCCUGAUGGCGUUCUCAGCAUCGGUAUCAUCGUCAUCGCCGUCGUCAGCAUCAUCAGCAUCAUCAGCAUCACCUGCAACAGCCUGCGGCAACACCAUUCAAACGUCAGCAAGUCGUAUAAGUAAUAAUGCUAACGUAACGUCGUCGAAUGCCGUCGUUUUCGCGGCGGCGACUAUCAACGAAAAAACGAACAGCAACGCAGCUUUAGCCCUGCAGUAGCUAUAAAAUAAUAAUCUCUUUGAAUAAAUAUUAGAAGGAAAGGAAAACCUUGAGCAAAUAUUGAAAUCGGAAUAUACAACAGAAAACAAAGAUAAUAAUGAUAAUGAUAAUAACAAUAAUAAUAAUAAUAAUAAUUAUAAUAUACAAGGUUGUG
rnacentral:misc_RNA from 1 species